GCGGAAGUGGCGAAAUUGGUAGACGCACCAGAUUUAGGUUCUGGCGCCGCGAGGCGUAAGAGUUCAAGUAUCUUCUUCCGCACCA
rnacentral:tRNA from 1 species